CUGGGAAAUGCAGGGACAGCUCCUCACCCUUUGCAAAGCUUUGGAACACACCUGGGAAAUGCAGGGACAGCUCCUCACCCUUUGCAAAGCCUUUGGAGGAUCCUGGGAGUUGCAGGAGCAGCUCCUCAGCCUUUGCAAAGUCUUUGGAGAACACCUGGGAAAUGCAGGAGCAGCUCCUCACCCUUUGCAAAGUCUUUGGAACACACCUGGGAAAUGCAGGAGCAGCUCCUCACCCAUUGCAAAGCUUUGGAACACAUCUGGGUAAUGCAGGAGCAGCUCCUCAGCCCUUGCAAAGUCUUUGGAGGAUCCUGGGAGUUGCAGGAGCAGCUCCUCACCCUUUGCAAAGCUUUGGAGAACACCUGGGAAAUGCAGGAGCAGCUCCUCACCCUUUGCAAAGUCUUUGGAGGAUCCUGGGAGUUGCAGGAGCAGCUCCUCACCCUUUGCAAAGCUUUGGAACACACCUGGGAAAUGCAGGAGCAGCUCCUCACCCAUAGCAAAGCCUUUGGAGAACACCUGGGAAAUGCAGGAGCAGCUCCUCACCCUUUGCAAAGCUUUGGAGGAUCCUGGGAAAUGCAGGAGCAGCUCCUCACCCUUUGCAAAGUCUUUGGAGGAUCCUGGGAGUUGCAGGAGCAGCUCCUCACCCUUUGCAAAGUCUUUGGAGGAUCCUGGGAAAUGCAGGGACAGCUCCUCAGCCCUUGCAAAGCUUUGGAACACACCUGGGAAAUGCAGGGACAGCUCCUCACCCUUUGCAAAGCUUUGGAACACACCUGGGAAAUGCAGGAGCGGCUCCUCACCCUUUGCAAAGUCUUUGGAGGAUCCUGGGAGUUGCAGGAGCAGCUCCUCACCCUUUGCAAAGCCUUUGGAACACAUCUGGGAAAUGCAGGAGCAGCUCCUCACCCUUUGCAAAGCUUUGGAGGAUCCAGGGAAAUGCAGGAGCAGCUCCUCACCCUUUGCAAAGCUUUGGAGGAUCCUGGGAAAUGCAGGAGCAGCUCCUCGCCCUUUGCAAAACUUUGGAGGACACUUGGGAGUUGCAGGGACAGCUCCUCACCCUUUGCAAAGCUUUGGAGGAUCCAGGACCCAGAAGAAGGGAGGCAGGAAAAGAACAGCUCUGGACAACCAGGCUACAGCCUCCUGUUAUCUUAAU
rnacentral:lncRNA from 1 species